UACGUAGGUGGCAAGCGUUAUCCGGAUUUAUUGGGUUUAAAGGGUGCGUAGGUUGUUUUUUAAGUCAGCGGUGAAAGUUUGUGGCUCAACCAUAAAAUUGCCGUUGAAACUGGAAGACUUGAGUGUGUUUGAGGUAGGCGGAAUGCGUGGUGUAGCGGUGAAAUGCAUAGAUAUCACGCAGAACUCCGAUUGCGAAGGCAGCAUACCGGCGCUCAACUGACGCUCAUGCACGAAAGUGUGGGUAUCGAACAGG
rnacentral:rRNA from 1 species